UAGUCCACGCCGUAAACGGUGGGCACUAGAUGUGGGGACUUUCAACGGUCUCUGCGUCGUAGCUAACGCAUUAAGUGCCCCGCCUGGGGAGUACGGCCGCAAGGCUAAAACUCAAAGGAAUUGACGGGGGCCCGCACAAGCGGCGGAGCAUGUUGCUUAAUUCGAGGCAACGCGAAGAACCUUACCUGGGUUUGACAUGUACGGAAAAGCUGCAGAGAUGUAGUGUCCUUCGGGGCCGUACACAGGUGGUGCAUGGUUGUCGUCAGCUCGUGUCGUGAGAUGUUGGGUUAAGUCCCGCAACGAGCGCAACCCUCGUCCUAUGUUGCCAGCAUUUAGUUGGGGACUCAUAGGAGACUGCCGGCGUCAAGUCGGAGGAAGGUGGGGACGACGUCAAAUCAUCAUGCCCCUUAUGUCCAGGGGCUGGCAAACAUGCUACAAUGGGCCGGUAUAAAGGGGCAGCGACAGGGGCAACC
rnacentral:rRNA from 1 species